rnacentral:tRNA from 1 species
AGCAGUGUGGCUUAGUGGAAAGAGCAUGGGUCUAGAAGUCGGAGGUCAUGGGUUCUAAUCCCACCUCUGCCA